UACGUAGGUGGCGAGCGUUAUCCGGAAUUACUGGGCGUAAAGCGCACGCAGGCGGUUUCUUAAGUUUGACGUGAAAACUCCUGGCUUAACUGGGAGAGGUCGUUGAAGACUGGGGAACUUGAGGCAAUGAGAGGGAUGUAGAAUUCACGGUGUAGUGGUGGAAUGCGUAGAUAUCGUGAGUAAUACCAGUGGCGAAAGCGACAUCCUGGCAUUAGCCUGACGCUCAUGUGCGAAAGCGUGGGGAGCGAACGGG
rnacentral:rRNA from 1 species